ACACUGAGUUAUCAUUAGCUUGCUUUCUUCAACGGAAGGAGAUAACAGACCUUAACCAGACAAGAAGGAAACCCCAAUGAAGAGGGUUAUACCAGAUACAUGUUUCUUAGAUGACUUAGAUGACGGAGACGAAUCAGAUAGAUGGCUAUCAGACCCUGCAUCUAAACAAUCUGUACCUGAACCUGAAGAUGAGGAAGAUAAAGAGGAGGAGGAAGAGGAGCUAACUUUGCAAUACUUUUUCCUUAU
rnacentral:lncRNA from 10 species